UGGAAUUCUAUUAGUAUUACCAGAGGAAAAAAAGUCAAGGAGUCAUCAAGAAAACAAAUCUAUAUCUUCUACUCCAUCAGCCAAUUACUGUUGUUAAAGUGGAAUUAGAUGGGUAUUGACAAUGCGAAGGGGAUAAGGAUUAAGCAGAUGACUGAAUAUAUUGCAAGCACUGGUGAUCAUAUUUUGGCUUUUUAGCAUUGUUUUGCUUUUGCUGCAUAGUUUUUUAAAACUCUAAAAUAGGAAUGUGCAAAGCAGAUUAAUUGCUAAUAUCAUGCCUGAAAAAAUACAAUUUAUAAUAUAUUUGCUAAUUGGAUAAUGCACAAAUAUUUUCACAUAAGAGUGCUAUUUUAUACCAGCAAAUAUUCAACAGCUAAGCAAAGAUUUAAUAGAAACCCGCAUCUGUCUAUAAGUACAGGACCACUGGAAAGAUAAUAAAAGGCUUUAAAAAUUUCCUUACCCUAAUUUAAGGGAGAAAAUUCCCCAAUCAAAUUUUGAAAAUGUUAUCUUUUCUUAAAAAGUAAGAAUAAUACAACUCAACUGAUUAUAAAACCAAAACACUUUUAUUGUGAGAGGUGGCAGUAUACUGUAAUAUUUAAGAGCAUGAUCUUUGACUCUAUGGAGACCUAGUUUCAAUUGUGGCCUCUGCCACUUUCUAUAGCUUUGUGACCUUAAGGAAAUUACUUAACCUAUGUCUUCAUUUCCCAAUCUGUAAAACUGAGAUAGAGUAUCCAAGUUAUAUGGUAGUGUGAGGUUAAAUGAGCAUGUUUGUGUAAAAACUUUGCAUAAUAUUUAAUUAGUAUUAGCUUCAGCUAUUAUAAAAUGUUAUCUCAAUACAUCCAUUGAAGUCAGGCAGCUAUUUUGUCUACAGAAAAAAUUCAGUUUUGUUAUAUAGUGAAUGGAAUUCCUGAGGUACUAACAGGUCAAAGUCAAGAAACCCAUAAAAGUAUUGGUUAUCAAUGCCAAAGUUCAAAGUAUCAUAUAAAAUCUGGUUUUACUUAUUAUUAUUAUUAUUAUUGUUAGUUUGAGAUGGAAUUUUGCUCCUGUUGCCCAGGCUGGAGUGCAAUGGUGCGAUCUCAGCUCAUCGCAACCUCCGCCUCCCAGGUUCAAGCGUUUCUCCUGCUUCAGCCACCCGAGUAGCUGGGAUUGCAGGAAUGCGCCACCACCCCUGGCUAAUUUUGUAUUUUUAGUAGAGACGGGGUUUCUCCAUGUUGGUCAGGCUGGUCUCGAACUCCCAACCUCAGGUGAUCCGUCCUCCUUGGACUCCCAAAGUGCUGGGAUUACAGGCAUGAGCCACUGCAUCUGGCCUGGUUUUAUUUUAUACUGCAAACUCCACUUCAUGGGGGUGGGGCGGGGGGCGGGGAUCACAAAGUACCAGGCAAAUUUGAUUUAAUGGCUGGGGGGGGAUUACCAGUUUAAAUUGCAAGUAAUACCACCAAGACACAAAAAGGUAGUUUUGUUUUGUUUUGUUUUAAAAAGAAAUAUUUCUGCCACUUUUUAAAAAUUUUAAGACCGGGUCUUGCUCUAUUGCCCAGAUUGACGGGCAGUGGCAUGAUCAUAGCUCACUACAGCCUCAAAGAACUCCUAGGCCCAAGGGAUCCUCCAGGUUCAAGGGAUCCUCCCACCUCAGCCUCCCUAAGUAGCUGGGAAUACAGGCACAUGCCACCAGGCCCGACUAAUUUUUUAAAAUUUUUUGUAGAGACAGGCCUCACUAUGAUGCCCAGGGUGGUCCUGAACUCCUGGAUUCAAGCAAUUCUCCCACCUCGGUAUCCUAAAGAGCUGAGAGUACAGGCGUCAGCCUCUGUGCUUGGUCCACCUAUUGAUGAGUUCACUAAGUCCUGGCUGAGGUUUCUGGUACCAUUUUCUGCCUUCUUUUCUUACAUCAAAGUUUUUACCCAUUUACAAACUGUGUUUUACUGACUGAAUAACACCCUCAUGUCCCUCUUUUCACACAAUACACGUAUUUUGAUAUUAAGCAUACUUACUACAUCUUUUGUCUUUUAAAGUCAAGUUUGAAUUAAUGGCAUAUCAUGACAGAUAUAUUGAUGCCAGUCUAAAAUAGCUAAGUAAAAUCAUAAUCCAAUGAGUAUAUCAAUGAACUUGGAGUAGCAUCACUUGAUGAAUCAAGACUGCCAGUAUUUUCUUCCUAGUGUGUGAACAUAGAAUGAUCGAUACUCUAGUACAUCCCAAAGACUUGACAACUGAUAUUUUGAGUUAGUGAAAAUAUGCAAAUAAAGUUUUCACUUAUAACAUCAAAGGUAAAUCCUUCAUUCAGAUGUACACUUUGAUACUGUGGUGAAUUAUGCCUAAAUCUUUUCAACCCUUGUUAAAUAUUUCCAAUGAGCUGAGGUAAUUUUACUUUGCAGUAUGAUUUUUUAAAAGGUGUAACGCACCUAAACACACACACAAAAAGGAUGCAAAGAAAUACAGCUUAGUUUUUUAACACAAAUAAAAUCCAAACAAUGAUAUAUCUUACAAUAAUGUAAGAAUACUUAAAAUACAUUGCUUUAAAAAAACAGUGGCAAAGAAUGGCAAGAAUCUAAUAAGGAAAGCGAAGGUUUGCAAUGGCAAUUCAUUAAAGAGAGUAAUCACACUAAUCAAGAAAAAAAAGUAGAGAUGCCCAAACACAGACAAGAAAAAAAAAACAAUAACAAAUCUAAUAAAUUUAACUUGCCCUGCCAGAUCUUUUUAACUUAUUGGAAAAUUCGCUUGACUUAAUAUUGACACAGAGAUGUGUAAAUCAAUACAUUCAGAAUGAAAGAUAUAUUUUAAUUUAAAAAUGUUCAAACUGCAGCAGUAAAUCUAUGCACUUAGCACAUAAAAAUCUUUAAGAGUUCAAAUGUUCAGACAUAACAUUGGGGUUGACCAACAACCUAUAGAUGAAUGCCAAAUCCUAAAUUCUGACCACCAAAAUACUUACUUUUUAUGUCACAUAUAAGGCAAUCUUUACAAUAUUUACUGAAAAAUAUUUAUAAAUACUAGACAAAUGGAUUUUCAUUGAGAAUCCAUCAAAGCCUGCAACCAGGGCACCACCUAUCUGCUGCUGAUAAAAAAGUCCUACUUUUAUAUAUUAUACAACUACAGGCUAUUGUGAUCUUACCAAAUGAAAUGAGAAAAGUAAAAGAAAUGAAGCUAUCCUUUAAUCUCAGUGACUGUCUAUAUGGUCAAAGCCUUUAGCUGUGCCAUCCAAUAUGGUAGCCACUAGUUAUAUGUGGCUAUUAAGAUACGUUCAAAGUAUUAAACACACAAAAGAUUUUGCAUUUACUCCAAGAAAAGUACAAAAUAUGUCAUAAUUUUUGCUACAAUAAUUUUAUUGUUACAUACACACAUUUUCAGGAUAAAAAUCAAAUAAUUCGUUUCACUUAGGAAUGUAUUAUACAAAAAAGUGAGACUUCAACAGACAAGCACAAGAACUUACUAUAGUUAAAAUUUAUCUCCUUAAAUAUUUUUGAUGCACAAAUUUAACUUGGUAUACCACACCAUAAAUCUAAACUAUCUUGAGUUUAAAUAGAUUGGUAGUGUCCUCACUCCCCGACCUUCCAUGGAUGGUGACACAAAGGAUGAAACAAAGGAUGGGGAAAAAGAUGUAUAUGAGAUGAUGUACAGAGGAUGAAACAUUAGUAAUUAUGAUGCUGAUCUCUAGUAAGCUAACCUUUCAACUUACAAAUCAAUAAAAGCUAAUAGGUAAACAAUUUUACUUCUAGAAAAACAAAUCUGUAUCAAACAAGAAGUGCUUAUAUUUACUAAAGUAUAUAUGAUUAUGGUGAAAAUUUUCCCCGUUAUCUCAAAAUGGCAGCAAAGAGAACUGCUCACCUCCUACUAUAAUUUUUCUUUAUAAUUAGUGUACAGCAUUACCUUCGGUAAUCUCAAUCCUUUCACUUUUAUCAUCCUCCUCCUUUAAAAUCUUUCCUUUCCCCAACUAUCUUCUCAAGCUUUGCUACUUACUAAGAGUGGGUCCCAGGCCAGCAUCAUCAGCAUCUUCUGGGAGCCCAUUAGAAAGGCAGAAUCUCAAGUUCCUCCCACGACUUAUUAAAUCAGAAUUGACAUUUUAACAAGAUCCACUCCCACCAGCCCCAAGAUCCGCUGGGAGAUUAAAUUUAAGCAUCUCCGCUCUACACUUGGUGGAAAGGAUUUCUAGCCUCACGGUCUGUGUCUCUUGUUCUUACCCUUUAUAUGUUUUCAUUGGUCCUCAGGUUAAUAAGGUUAGUAAGCAUCUUAAAAACUAUUGAUUUCAAAACUUCCAUUUUACAGAUAAACUAGAAAUAAACUUUAAUGCCUAGCACAAGACCUUACAAGAAAAGGCCCUUAAUAAAAGACAAGUUGGAAGACAAAGGCAAGAUGACAGAGAAGUUGAAGCUAAAAGAGGUUAAGGAUUUAGACGGUUUCUAUAGCUAAUUAGUUGCAUGGUGAAACUGUGUCUCAUGUUGACUCCAAAGAUCAAUGCUCAUUCCAAUAUACGAUGCAAGGCAAAGCCAGAGUUGCUGAGUCCCACCUCCCCCAACUUCUCACUGGGAUGUACGUAAGAGAGUAUGUCCUUGUGAAUAGGUGAAUGUGCACACAUGUGAAAACCUAGGUCUGCCCAGCUCUGGAGUGCUUCCCAAGAGAACAGUGUGAAAUAUUAGAAGUUUAGGCCAGGUGCGGUGGCUCUUGCCUGUAAUUCUAGCACUUUGGGAGGCUGAGGCGGGCAGAUCACGAGGUCAGGAGUUCGAGACCAGCCUGGCCAACAUGGUGAAACCCCAUCUCUACUAAAAAUACAAAAAUUAGCCAGCUGCAGUAAUGGGCGCCUGUGAUCCCAGCUACUUGGGAGGCUGAGGCAGGAGAAUUGCUUGAACCUGGGAGGCAGAGGUUGCAGUGAGCCAAGAUUGUGCCACUGCACUCCAGCCUGGGUGACAGAGCAAGACUCCGUCUGGGGGGAAGAAAAGAAGUUUAUAAUUUCCUGUACUAUAUUCUUUGAUCCUCUUCUCUUCUACUAAAAAAUACCCGUGGUCACUGGUAGGUAGGAAUCAAGAAGUAAAAAGUAAAAGUAAUAUGAGACAACUUUCAAACAUAGAAACAACUAGCCUGAAUUGGGUUGGGAAUUAUUACUUGAUUAUGCAACUGUUCACUCUCCCCUACUUCUUUUCGUCUAUACACUUCUGUCACCCUCUUCCUGUGCCAUUCCCCGCUGCAUCUCUUAUUUAACUGUCACAGAAAAGACAAAGUUGAAAAGUUACUUGUACAAUCCUUGUUGCUCUUUGGAAUAAAAACACUACCUAAAUCCUAUAAUUAUUAUAAAUAAUAACUUAUAAUUCCUAGUAUUUUAAAAUUUUUACCAGGUAUUUUCAUAAAAAUUACCUUAAAGUCAUCAUAACAGCAUGUCACUGUUUUUGAUAGUAACAGUGAUUAUAAAAAGAUGGACAAUUAUUGGACAUGAUAAAUCUAUUUACAUUUUUUCAAAUAAUAUCAUAUUAUAAAAAUUAUAAAAGCAGAAAAAGUUCAGGCAAUAAACCCAAAAAAAUGACUAGCAGGAAAAGCAACACCACAAUUUUACUUUUAAAAAAGCAAAGAAUCCAGUAUUAAAGUUGGUAUAAAACAUUGCAGUAAUGCUCAAAAGAUAAUGCUUUAAAAUAAAAGUAUUGUGGUGCUAAAUAUAAUGGAUUAAAUUAUGUCUUAUGAAAAGACCAGAAGAAGGUGACAGGUAUAUAAACAAUUCACAAUAAAACUAGCCAGCAGGUCAGUAAACAGAGAGAGCUUUAAUGAUUUGAAUAUCUGAUUUGAUUUCUUAUAUAUCAGUGCCUUAUGCCUAUUUAACAUUUGACAAUAAAAUAUACUUAACUAUGAUUAACAGGAGCACCUGAGAUUGCAGAGUUUACACUACAACAGAAAUAUAACUACUGAAAUACACCAUUCACUGUAAGAAUCCGUAUUACAGCUAACCUUAUUACAAAAGCAUUUAUCAGAAUUUUAAGUCUCCUAAACUCCAUCUUGGAUAAAAUAUAGUAACAAUAUGGAUAAAUCAAAGACUACUAGCACUUCAUAAAUAAUUACUGCAUGUAUUAGAUUAUUCCUACUAACAGAAUAGAUUAAACAGCAGAUCAGAUGAAGAUAAAAAGAGAAUUAAAUAACUGGAGCACAGAACCGAAGAUAUUACCUGUAAUGUGGCACACACAAAAAAACAAUGAAAUGAAAACUAGGAGAAAAGGGCUAAGAGACAUUAAGAAUAAAAUGAGAAAGUGCAACAUAUGUCUGUCUAAAAAGAUAGAAGACUGAGUCGGGCGGGGUGGCUCAUGCCUGUAUUCCCAGCACUUUGGGAGGCUGAGGUGGGUGGAUCAUGAGGUCAGGAGUUUGAGACCAGCCUGGCAAACAUGGUGAAACCCCGUCUCUACUAAAAAUACAAAAAUUAGCCGGGUGGUGGUGGCACGUGCCUGUAAUCCCAGCUACUCAGGAGGCUGAGGCAGGAGAGUUGCAUGAACCUGGGAGGCAGAGGUUGCAGUGAGCCAAGAUUGAGCCACUGCACUCCAGACUGGGCAUCAGAGCAAGACUCUGUCUCAAAAAAAAAAAAAAAAAAAAAGAUAGAAGACUAAUAAUAAACAAGAAGCUAUAUUUGGAUAAGGGCUGAAAUCUUUUUUUAAGAACUGAUUAAAGAUAGGAAUUCUCAGAUACAGGAAGCACAACAUAAAAAAAAGCAGGAUAAAUAAAUUUAUGUCUGUAUAUUGUGGGGAAACUACAAAAUAUAAAAUACAUGUAUUUUUUUCUUAAAAGCAGCUAGGGAAUAAAAAUAAAAUACAUUAUUUACCAUUAGUGGAACAGAUAUCUCAGAGCAAGAGUGAAUGCCAGAAGAUAGUACAAGAGUAUCUUUAAAAUGUUGAGAAAAAUUAUUUAACCCAGAAUUACAUACCAAGAAAAUUAUUCAUUAAAAAAGGUAAAACAAAGCUAGUUUCAGAUUUAAAAAGUGAAAUUAUCUGUUUUAGAUUUUCACCAAAAGAACUUCUAAGCAUAAUGGAAGAAAAAUGAUCCUGCAAAGAAAGACUGAAAUAUAAGAUGAAAGGUGAGAAAGAAUCUGGUAAAUCUUAUAGAUCUAAAUAAAUGCUAUACAUUAAUAAUAAUGUCUAAUUUAUAGGUUGACAAAACUAAAAGACUGGAAAUCAAGACAAUAUUUUCUGUUCAAAGAGGUGUGGUCAAAAUUAAUGUUCGAGGCCUCCCGCGGUGGCUCACACCUGUAAUACUAGUGGGAGGCCGAGGCGGGCAGAUCACUUGAGGUCAGGAGUUUCAAAUCAGCCUGGCCAACAUGGUGAAACCUCACCUCUACUAAAAAAAAAAAAAAAUAUAUAUAUAUAUAUAUAUACACACACACAAAAAUUAGCCAGGCAUGUUGGCAGGCACCCGUAAUCCCAGCUACUUGGGAGGCUGAGGCAGGAGAGUUGCUUGAACCCGGGAGGCGGAGGUUGCAGUGAGCCUAGAUUGCACCAUUGCACUCCAGCUUGGGCGAAAGAGUGAGACUCCAUCUCAAAGAAAACAAAAAACAAAAUUAUUGUUCUAAAGUCCUAGUAUUAUUUAGAAGAGGUUUAAAUAUUAACAGUAGAUGUUAAAAGCUGUUAAACACACACAGCAAAAUUUCAAAGACAUCAGAGGCAUGGAAGCAACCAGGGUAGAUACCUAGCUUCCAAACUAGUAAAAUGGAGGAGAAAAUUAGAACGAAAAAGAAAAGAGAGCAACAAGUCAAUACUAGAAGGAAAAAAAACUUUUAAAAUGUUAGAAAAAUAAAAGUAUGGAGUUGAUAUAAAUACAUGUCCACAUAUAUCAGAAAUCACAAUAAUCUGAAAGCAUUAGUUAUAUGGUAGACAAUAACAUGUUAGAUUUUUAAAAAUCCAACCGUAUGCUGUCUACAAAAGAUAUACUAAAACAAAAGGACCCAGAAAGGUAGAAAAAAUAAAAGGGUGGAAAAAAUAAUACCAGGAAAAUAUAAACUAAAGAAAGAUGAGGGCAGAUAUGUUAAUAUAAUGCAUAAUAGACCUUAUAUAAUAUUAAAAGCAUUAUUAAAAAUAAAACAAAAGUUAAAUUAACCAGGAAGGUUAAUCCACUUCAAACACUAGUGUCUUUAAUUUUGUCUGUUUGGGUACUAUUUAUAAGAAUGGGAUCUUACACUAUGUUUUCUUCUACAAUUUGCUUUUUUUUUCUCUCAAUGAGACUCAUUCAUGUUAAUGUUUGCAGUUAUAGUUCAUUCCACUGCUGAAUUCCAUAGUAGAAAUAUAUCUAUUAUUAAUAUAUUCUAAUAUUAAUUGGUAAAAAGUGAAACAAGUGACAUGAAUAAGAACAGCAGUGCCGGGCGCGGUGGCUCACGCCUAUAAUCCCAGCGCUUUGGGAGGCCGAGGCAGGCAAAUCACGAGGUCGAGAGAUUGAGACCAUCCUGGCCAACAUGGUGAAACCCCAUCUCUACUAAAAAUACAAAAAUUAGCUGGUGUGGUGGCACACUCCUGUAGUUCCAGCUACUCGGUAGGCUGAGGCAGGAGAAUCGCUUGAACCUGGGAGGCAGAGGUUGUAGUUAGCCGAGAUCACGCCACUGCACUCCAGCCUGGUGACAGAGCAAGAGUCUCUCUCAAAAAAUAAUAACAAUAUAAAAAAAGAACAGCAGGAAUGUUUGUAAUAGCCAGAAACUUGUAACAAUA
rnacentral:lncRNA from 1 species